rnacentral:rRNA from 1 species
AUUGAACGCUGGCGGCAGGCCUAACACAUGCAAGUCGAACGAGUGGCGGACGGGUGAGUAAUUUAUGGGAAACUGCCUGAUGGAGGGGGAUAACUACUGGAAACGGUAGCUAAUACCGCAUACCAUCAGAUGUGCCCAGAUGGGAUUAGCGUGUUGGUGGGGUAACGGCUCACCAAGGCGACGCGCCCUAGCUGGUCUGAGAGGAUGACCAGCCACACUGGAACUGAGACACGGUCCAGACUCCUACGGGAGGCAGCAGUGGGGAAUAUUGGACAAUGGGCGAAAGCCUGAUGCAGCCAUGCCGCGUGUAUGAAGAAGGCCUUCGGGUUGUAAAGUACUUUCAGCGGGGAGGCGUUACCCGCAGAAGAAGCACCGGCUAACUCCGUGCCAGCCGCCGCGGUAAUAC